rnacentral:lncRNA from 1 species
ACAUGAGCUGGCAAUGUGCACUGGCAGCCCAGAAAGCCAACCACAUCCUGGGCUGCAUCAAGAGAAGUGUGGCCAGCAGGUCAUGGGAGGUGAUUCUGCCCCUCUACUCUGCACUCGUGAGACCCCACCUGGAGUACUGUGUCCAGCUUUAGAGUCCUCAACACAGGAAGGACACGGAUCUGCUGGAACGGGUCCAGUGGAGGGCCAUGAAGAUAAUUAGAGAGAUGGAGCAUCUCUCCUAUGAGGACAGGCUGAGAAAGCUGGGGUUGUUCAGCCUGGAGAAGGCUCCCGGGAGACCUUAUAGCGGCCUUUCAAUAUCUGAAGGGGCUACAGGAGAGCCAGAGAGGGACUCUUUGUCAGGGCACUCCCUGAAAGGACAAGGGGCAACGGUUUUAAAUUGGAAGAGGGGAGAUUUAGAUUAGAUACUAGAAAGAAAUUCUUUCCUGUGAGGGUGGUGAGACACUGGAACAGGUUGCCCAGGGAAGUUGUGGCUGCCCCAUCCCUGGAGGGGUUCAAGGCCAGGCUGGAUGGGGCUUUGAGCAACCUGCUCUAGUGGGAGGUGUCCCUGCCAGGGCAGGGGGGUUAGAACUUGAUGAUCUUUAAGGUCCCUUCCAACUCUGACCAUUCUACGAUUCUAUGGUUUUUUUCAGAGCGAAUAUCACAAAUCCCAGAAUUCACGACUUGUGUGGAGUCAGGAAAAGAUUUUCAGCUAGACACGAGAUGGGCCCAGCGAGUCAAUGGACAAGGUACAACUUCUGCAAGGUUGCGUGCCUGUCCCUGAUAUGGCUGUGUCUCCUGCCAGAGCAUCCCGAUGAUAACCUCUGGAGAUCACACCCCACAGGCUCACAUCCUCACUCGCACGGUGACGGCCGCAACGAUGAGGAGCAGCGGGAGGAAUCAGGAACCAAAACCAACUCGGGAUACAGCAUCCAAAAGCUCGACGAUCUGAAGGUAGGGAAACUGCUUGGUGCAUUUGACAGUAAUCAAAAUACAAACAUGGUCCUGAGGGGCAAGAGGACAUUUUGGUGUGAGAAGGAAGCAGACCAGUGCAGCAUGAAACAAAAA